CCCGGCUUAGCUCAGACUGGUGGAGCGGGGGACUGUAGAUCCUCAGGUCGCCUGUUCAAAUCAGGCAGCCGGGACCA
rnacentral:tRNA from 1 species